rnacentral:rRNA from 1 species
CCUACGGGUGGCAGCAGUGAGGAAUAUUGGUCAAUGGACGAGAGUCUGAACCCGCCAAUUCGCGUGAAGGAUGACUGCCCUAUGGGUUGUAAACUUCUUUUAUAUGGGAAUAAAAUGUUCCACGUGUGGGAUUUUGUAUGUACCAUAUGAAUAAGGAUCGGCUAACUCCUUGCCCGCAGCCGCGGUAAUACGGAGGAUACGAGCGUUAUCCGGAUUUAUUGGGUUUAAAGGGAGCGUAGGUGGAUUGUUAAGUCCGUUGUGAAAGUUUGCGGCUCAACCGUCAAAUUGCAGUUGAAACUGGCAGUCUGGAGUACAGUAGAGGUAGGCGGAAUUCGUGGUGUAGCGGUGAAAUGCUUAGAUAUCACGAAGAACUCCGAUUGCGAAGGCAGUUCACUGGACUGCAACUGACACUGAGGCUCGAAAGUGUGGGUAUCAAACAGGAUUAGAUACCCCAGUAGUC